rnacentral:rRNA from 1 species
AAGAAACCAACAGGGAUUGCCUUAGUAACGGCGAGUGAAGCGGCAACAGCUCAAAUUUGAAAUCUGGCUCUUUCAGAGUCCGAGUUGUAAUUUGCAGAGGGCGCUUUGGCGUUGGCAGCGGUCCAAGUUCCUUGGAACAGGACGUCACAGAGGGUGAGAAUCCCGUACGUGGUCGCUAGUCAUCGCCGUGUAAAGCCCCUUCGACGAGUCGAGUUGUUUGGGAAUGCAGCUCUAAAUGGGAGGUAAAUUUCUUCUAAAGCUAAAUACUGGCCAGAGACCGAUAGCGCACAAGUAGAGUGAUCGAAAGAUGAAAAGCACUUUGGAAAGAGAGUCAAACAGCACGUGAAAUUGUUGAAAGGGAAGCGCUUGCAGCCAGACUUGCCUGUAGUUGCUCAUCCGGGCUUUUGCCCGGUGCACUCUUCUGCGGGCAGGCCAGCAUCAGUUUGGGCGGUUGGAUAAAGGUCUCUGUCAUGUACCUCUCUUCGGGGAGAACUUAUAGGGGAGACGACAUACAACCAGCCUGGACUGAGGUCCGCGCAUUUGCUAGGAUGCUGGCGUAAUGGCUGUAAGCGGCCCGUCUUGAAACACGGACCAAGGAGUCUAACAUCUAUGCGAGUGUUUGGGUGUCAAGCCCGAGCGCGUAAUGAAAGUGAACGGAGGUGGGACCCCGUAAGGGUGCACCAUCGACCGAUCCUGAUGUCUUCGGAUGGAUUUGAGUAAGAGCAUGGCUGUUGGGACCCGAAAGAUGGUGAACUAUGCUUGAAUAGGGUGAAGCCAGAGGAAACUCUGGUGGAGGCUCGCAGCGGUUCUGACGUGCAAAUCGAUCGUCAAAUUUGGGCAUAGGGGCGAAAGACUAAUCGAACUAUCUAGU